CUGAUUGAGUAUUUUGUAGACAUGGCUAAAAAAGUCGAUGAGGGAAGAGCUGUAGAUGUUGUGUACAUGGAU